AGACCCGAAACCCGGUGAUCUAGCCAUGGGCAGGUUGAAGGUUGGGUAACACUAACUGGAGGACCGAACCGACUAAUGUUGAAAAAUUAGCGGAUGACCUGUGGCUGGGGGUGAAAGGCCAAUCAAACCGGGAGAUAGCUGGUUCUCCCCGAAAGCUAUUUAGGUAGCGCCUCGUGAAUUCAUCUCCGGGGGUAGAGCACUGUUUCGGCUAGGGGGCCAUCCCGGCUUACCAACCCGAUGCAAACUGCGAAUACCGGAGAAUGUUAUCACGGGAGACACACGGCGGGUGCUAACGUCCGUCGUGAAGAGGGAAACAACCCAGACCGCCAGCUAAGGUCCCAAAGUCAUGGUUAAGUGGGAAACGAUGUGGGAAGGCCCAGACAGCCAGGAUGUUGGCUUAGAAGCAGCCAUCAUUUAAAGAAAGCGUAAUAGCUCACUGGUCGAGUCGGCCUGCGCGGAAGAUGUAACGGGGCUAAACCAUGCACCGAAGCUGCGGCAGCGACACUGUGUGUUGUUGGGUAGGGGAGCGUUCUGUAAGCCUGUGAAGGUGUGUCGUGAGGCAUGCUGGAGGUAUCAGAAGUGCGAAUGCUGACAUAAGUAACGAUAAAGCGGGUGAAAAGCCCGCUCGCCGGAAGACCAAGGGUUCCUGUCCAACGUUAAUCGGGGCAGGGUGAGUCGACCC
rnacentral:rRNA from 2 species